GUGCCAGCAGCCGCGGUAAUACGUAGGGUCCGAGCGUUGUCCGGAAUUACUGGGCGUAAAGAGCUCGUAGGUGGUUUGUCGCGUUGUUCGUGAAAACUCACAGCUUAACUGUGGGCGUGCGGGCGAUACGGGCAGACUAGAGUACUGCAGGGGAGACUGGAAUUCCUGGUGUAGCGGUGGAAUGCGCAGAUAUCAGGAGGAACACCGGUGGCGAAGGCGGGUCUCUGGGCAGUAACUGACGCUGAGGAGCGAAAGCGUGGGGAGCGAACAGGAUGAGAUACCCUGGUAGUCGCACGCCGGUAAANCGGUGGGUAGCUAGGUGUGGGUUUCGUUCCUUGGGAUCCGUGCCGUAGCUAACGCAUUAAGUACCCCGCCUGGGGAGUACGGCCGCAAGGCUAAAACUCAAAGGAAUUGANGGGGGCCCGCACAAGCGGCGGAGCAUGUGGAUUAAUUCGAUGCAACGCGAAGAACCUUACCUGGGUUUGACAUGCACAGGACGACUGCAGAGAUGUGUUCCCUUGUGGCUGUGU
rnacentral:rRNA from 1 species